rnacentral:lncRNA from 1 species
AAGAAAAAAGAAAACGAAAAAUAAAUAAACAAUGAAAAUAUUAUAAUAUACCAUGAUGAUAACAAUGUAUAUAUUAUACAGUAUAAGCUUAUAAUACGUGAGAAUACUAUGUAUAGCUAUAUAAAUACAUACAAAUAUCAAAAGGUUAGUUGCGUCCGACAAAUUUAAAAUUGACUUCCUAUAUCUCAGCGGACACUAUUACGUAGGUAGGUAUCUAUUUCAUUUAAAAAUAUACAGCCCUAUAUAAAUAACUAAAUUAGUAUAAACUAAUAACUCAUUUAUUCGUGCACGGCCGAUCUUUAUAAUGUUUAACUAUAUUAAUUAAUGGUAAAUAACAUUUAAAACAUUUAAUUUAAAUACUACGAACUAUUUCGUUAGAAUCGCCCUUGCAAAAAAUAAUCGUUCGCGUUAGAAGAGUGAUAAAUAGAUACCGAAGUCGUACGUCCGAAAUGGUACUCGUGCAUAAAAAUUGCCAUCCGAAUUGGUUUCCACCGAAGGGAUUUUUAUGAUUUCUGAGAUUAUAUUAUACAUAUAACUAAUGAGAUUUACGAAAUGUCAACCCACAAAUAAAAUGAGUGCAAGAUGAUGCAAAAUAAUGUGACGUAGGUACAAUAUAUGAAAAUCAAAAUUUACAUUGGCAUAGAUUUUAAAUAGACAAAUAUAAUGUGUUUCAAGAUAUUAUUUAAAAUGUUCACAGACCAGGAUAUUAAUAUUGUAAUAUUGCGUUUGGUUACGAUAAUUUAAAGAGGAUUGUUUUGAAUGAACUAUAAAAUAAUUAGAUAAAAAGUUCGAAUAGGGGACCAAUUCCAUUAAAAAUAUAUAGUUCGAAACUACAGGAAUGUGACCGAAAAAUGACGUCUCUUUAUUAUAUCAUAAUAUUAAUAAGUCUAAAAUACCAAAUCCAUUGGUUAUGUAAACCAUAUAAUACACCUAUAUUUAUCACGUGAGUGUACUUUUAUUUAAAAAGCAUAAAACUAUUCACAUAGGAACGCACAUUAGACGCACAUAAUGAUAAAUUCAAUAUGGGUGUCGACUGCCAGUGUACCUAUGUAUGUAAAUAUAGGGAGACAGGUGGCAUAUACCAGCUCCAUUGGACAUUAUAAUAACAUAUUAUAUUAUUAUAGUCUGCGAAUAAAAACAAAAAUUACGCUUCGCGUACGGCAUACAAUAACAGAUAGGUUUAAGACACGUAUAAUAUUAUAAUACCACUGCAGUGUAUAAUAUGAUAUUAUAAUAUGUCGUACGUGUGGUUUUAAACGCGCAAAACCGCUCGGCCGUUACUAAACGCACAUAACAUUAAUAUCGUGGCAUAAUAAUAAUAUACAUGCAUACGACCGCCAUCGGCACCACCGACGCUCUCGGUAGUUCAUAUUAUACACGACAAAGAGUAGGAUAUAACUGGUUGAAAAGUUAAAUUUUUUAGACUUUUUAACCUAUUGUUAUACAGUAGAUUUUAAACUAUCCAUAUUAUAAUAACUUGGGUUUUUAAAAUUAACUCGAACAACAGUACGUUAACUUAAAAUCAAACUUGUACACAAUUUAUUAUCUAUAUAUGUACAGUAUUAAUUAAAAAAACAAAUUAAUUAAAUAUUUUUCGUAUAAUCGCUUUAAUAUUAAUUAUUACAAACAAUAUGAUCCAAGAAAACCAAUAAAUGUGUCCAAGAAACGUGAAAUAUUUUAUUAUUUUUAUUUUUAUAUUUAUUAACGCAAAUCGGCUUUUACAAGAUAGAAUAUAAUGAAGAUACACAACAAAAUAUACAAGAUAAGUAUUAAAGUAACAUAUUAUAUGAGUGAUAUACAGUAACAACAAUAGACAAAUAGCCUAGGUAUGAAUACGUCACGAAGCAUACGAAUUGUAUUCAUUGUAAAGAGGGGUGCAUUAGCGGAAAAGUUAGACCGUCUUUGGUAUGUAAAAAGCCACUAUACAGAUUGUUUUCAACAAGGAUAUUAUGAAUUAUGCUGUACCUAUUUUUAUCAAAAGUUGCACAGUAAUCACAAUGUGAAUUAACCAAUUUCUUUUUUACCAAGCUAAAUAUAUAUUGUUAUUGCCAGCUUAUUAACUUAUAAGUGAGUUAUAACUUAACGUUCUGAACUUGCCCACCAUUAUUCAUCAGAUAGCAAGCAAAACCCAUCGUGCUUUGUUAUUUUAUAACCCCUUGGACAGAUAAAAAAACGAAUCGUUUAAUCAUGCGUGUACGGUCGAACAGGAGCCAAAUAAUAUUGCAUACAAACUAUAGUCGAUUGCGAUAAUAACAAUAUAAUAAUACACACGAGCAUGCGAUGGCUAUAAUAUAAUCGUAUAAUAUAAUAGUAAUUUAUUAUAAUAAAUACUUCGCAGCCGGAGAUUUCCGCACACACGCGUUUCUGCAACAACUUACAUCUCCGCAAGUGCAAUAAUAUUAACUCAACGGUGGCAACGCCCUAAAUCAAAUCUGAGCGUUCGUGUUACAUAAAAUGUAUAACGAAAAAAAAAUAAUAAAUAAACACGAUUUUUCCCGGACGACCUUGACGGUCACGACUACCUCGAGAACCAUGUCUAGCGUUGUGUAUGUGUGAGAGAGAGAAAAAAAGCGAAACCGCACAAGUAAUAUAAUAUUAUAUUAUAUAAAUAUAGCAGAGGCAUGCGGGCCAACCCCCGGGGGUCUGUUUCGCGAGAUCCGCUCGGGCGUGGUACCGCAGCCGCCAACGACCUUGCCCCGCCGAUCAGCGCUCCGAUUUAAAUUAUUAUUAUUAUUACGUGUAUAAUUAUAUGAUAUUACUGCACUGAAGUUUGGCCGAUGGGUUGUUUUUAUUAAUAUUAUUAUUAUAAUAUGGAUUUGGUUUUAUUUUUUUAUUUUUCGCGCACUGCUCCUGACAUGUCAUGUGUGUGUGUACGGUUCGUAUCGCGAUAUUUAAAUUUGCAUUUUAAGCGAGAGCAAAACGCUCGGCCGUGAAGACAAUUUUCGUUUCACGGUAUUAGUGUUAUAAAUUACGACGAUAGGUAUAAUAGCAAUAUAAUAAUAAUGCGUGCGCUUUGUAUUAUGCGUAUACCUACUUAUAAAAAUAUAAUACAGGUAAUAUUAUAAUGUGCGAAGAGUCUUAUUAAAAUUUAUCGUAUAGGUUUACCUCCCUAAGAUAUAGUGGUCGCGCGAUACAUAUUAUUAUUAUCAUUAUUAUAGUACCUAUAUUAUAUGCGAUUAUAAUCGAAUUAUUACGAUGAUCCGACGUGCCGUGCAAAACGAAUUAUCGAAAUCGAGAUCCGUGUGCGGUCGGCGUGUACACUGUACAUAUAACGCACGAGAAUAAUAAGCGGGUGUGAUUAUUUUUUUUCUCGCUCGGGCCAAAUUAUGCAAUGUUGCGCAUAUGACUUAACCACGUUUAACAUUGUAUACACCAUACACUAUAGAACCUCGAUGGUCCGAACGAAUUCAGAGGCGGAAUCCGAGUGUCAUCCGGAUUACUGCAUGAUGUUUUUCAAUGGCACUUGAAUAAACGAGACAUGUUGUUCUUCCGCACCUUUAUUAUUUUCGUAUUUUCUAUUGUUCUGAUAAAAAAAAUAAGAAAUCUUAAAAAAUAAUUACAUAAUAUUACGAUGUAAUUAUGUGUCCCAAAUUGGAAUUUAGUUAAUUUAAUUAUUUAUCAGUGAUAAAAUCAAUAACAUUGGUUUUGAGUAGCUGGAGUCUUUUUAAAAAAUGCUGCGGGGCUCAGUAAUCGCGAGAGGCGAGGAGGCCAGGAGGGGAUCCUAAAUUCCUAAAUAACGAAAUUAUUGUAGUUCAAUAAAUUUAUCACUAUGUGUAUAGACUAAAUUAAAAUAUGGACAUAUAAAUUUUAAUAUUUCACCUAUAGGCAAUAGGUGAGUAUUACAAAACGUAUCUGACAUAAUAUUACAUUAUAUUAUGAUAGGUAUUACUUAUUAUUAAUAAUAUGAUAUACGCGGACGGUAUGCGUAUAACGGGAUUUAUUUUACGAUAAUAUUAUUAAAUUAUGUUUUUGUCGUCGCAGCGAAAUACAUUUCAUUAAAAUACUACACCUACGCUGCAGUAUGUAUCUAUUAUAUAUGCGUAGGCCUAUACCCCGAGCCGUUGAAUUUUAUAACGGAUCGUGUUUUUUAUUCUCCAAUGAAACGGCGAGAGUAAAAAAAACUCGAUACCAUAUGUAUAAUACUCAACAUAUUAUUAUAAUAGUUAAAAAUGGAAUUUGGCUGCGGCAUGAACGCAUUUGCAGGUACAUGUGCUGUACAAUAAUAUAUUAAUAUAGACGAUCAUCACACACCAUGUACCUAUAUAAAUCCGAUCGUAUAGACCGCUAGCUAAUUCACGAUCAUACCACAAUAUUAUAUUAUGUCGUCUUUGUACCGCCAAGCUCAAUAAUAUCUACGUAUUUAUUCUACUCUGUAUUCAAGCCAACAAUAUUCUUUAAACCACUCUUUUCGGAACUUCCUUCCAUUUUUGACAGGAAACGUUAGAUCCAUUGGUUGAAACAGACCUUUAUUUAGACUGAGAAACAUUAUUAUACGUCAUUAUAGGUAUUAUUAUUUAUUAUAGGCCUCAAAACAGCUUGAAAUUAACUAAUAUUAUAUUUCAGUUUGUGGGGGGAAAGCCCCCACCAAUUUUAGACUGUGGAGGCAGUUGCCCCCAUUCGCCCUCGCCAAGUUACGCCUAUGGUAUACAAUGAAAAGCGACAUAUGGGUACAAAUUACUUACACUCACUUAGUCUCUUGUAGAUUAUUAUUCGAUUUAAGAUGAUUAUGACUUUUGCAAAUUUUUCUAUCAUCAAUCGUGCGUUGUCGCAUUGCAGACCCAAAUAAAUUAUAAAUCCAUUUGGUACGAUACAGAAGCAAUUAUAUUACAUUUUAUUUUGCAUUUAAUAAAUGCAUUAUUUUUUGCUCAUUUUCUGUAUAAAUCAUAUAUUUUAAGACAUUUUUCUACAAUUUCGUAUUUCAUAAAACAUUUUUAAAAAUAUUAGUUAACUAAUUAUGUAUUGAGGCUUAUACACGUUACACAAGCGUGCUAUACAAUAUAUAAUAUGCAGCUUCCGACAUACGCCCAUAGGUAGGUAAAAUAUUGAACGCGUGAAUAUGAGUCGUGUUUUAUUAGUAAUCUAUAAAAAUGUGUAGUAUAAUUUCUGCAUGCAUUCUGCAUUCUGCAAGCAUACCAUUUAGUUUUUUUAGGUCAUAAACAUAAUAUUCUAACCCUAUAAUUGUUAUAAAAUCCGCGUCGAUUAAAUCACUGAAUUUUCUAUCUUCCCGACAACCAUAAUAAGGUUAAUGUCACCAUCGCGCGACUCAAUUCCGAGAAACUCAAAAUUUCGUAUAUUACUGUUGUCUACCGUUUCGUCGUUACAAUAAUAAUAAUAAUAAUAUAUUAUAAUAUGUAGAUAAUAUCAUGGCGGUGCGCACACGACAAAUUAUAACGACCGUGAUAUUGGUAUAUAAUAUUAUGCCAAUCGCCGCCUAUCGACGUGCACUGGACAUAAACGAGUGAAAAUCCGUUUAGAAAAUGUGUUUGUAUAUUAAUGCGCGGCGGUCAUUGGACCUGCGACCACGGCAGCACCGACAGUCGAAUUUGUUUUCCAUUCGUCUGGUGUCCAUCAGUCGCAUAAUAAAUAUUAUUAUUAUUAUUAUUAUUAUUAUCGGCGUCGGUGUUCGCGGGUCAUUUUAAAACCUUUUAGGCGCGCGCCACACCUUGCACACGGGCUUGCACGUCCGAUUUGUAACCUAUCGGCGGAAAUGAAAAAUUCCUAAUUAGCUCUCGUCAGUGUGACAUACUAAUAACAUAUAAUAUAAUCAUCAUGGUGUCACGUUAACAGGGGUUUAUAGCCAGAUACCACGCGUAUCGUACCCACGGCUAUAUAGAUGCCAUAAUACUUCCCGGCCUUCCCGCGUGAAUCAAAAUGUAAAAUUCGUCGUCCAUCGUGUGUGCACGCCAAGUUCACUAGCAAGUUUUGCACACGUGGGGGUUAGGUUAGGUUGUCGGGUUUCUCAAAUGUUAUUUUAAUUAUAUUAAUAUCGUCAUUAAAUAUUAACGCGCCAAAAUUGUUUUUUCACGCCGGUUAAAUGCGGAUAGUUUUAGUGAAAAUAAAAACUGUUAGAAAGCCCGAAAAAAACCAAUCGCAUCACACAUCCUAUACCUAGAUAUAAGCGACUAUUUUAUGUGGCAUAAUAUGAUGGAAUUGACCUCUGGACACGAUCAGUUAUUAAAUAAUAAUAAUUUAUAAUACAUCGUAGUGGUGUAAAUAUAUUCAUAUUUGUAUUAUUUAUAAAUAUUAUGGUAAUCGUACGGAAUACUAUCUCCUGUAAUAUUCUCCAAACCAAAAAUCGAACUAACCCUUCGUACCGAAUAUACACGCCAUUAAGAUCAUAUGAUAUUGCAGGUAAACAUCUCGUAAACGUUAUGAUCGAUGGUUGAACAAUAUUAUGACGUAUUACCUGCGGCUGUAUAAUAUAUUAUUAUAGUACCGAAUAAUAUACGAUUUAUAUACGUGUUUAAAUAAUAUUAUUUUCGUACGCGGGUCAUCAUGACGAGCCAACAUAAUAUUCAUAAAUUAUUUAUUAUCACGAUAAUAUUUUAACUAUCCCCAUAACGCAAAAUAUAAUAUUAUGUAUUACGAAAACGAUUGCGUUUAAUAUGUUAGUAAUUAUUUAAAUAAGUACAUUUAAUUAUCUGCAAUUUGAUGUCACCGUCCUUCAGAUCGGGAUUAAAAGAGAUAAUUGUACUAGCAUAUAUAGGUACAAGUUUUGUCGUAAUACCUAAUAAAAAAUUAUAUGAAUAUCAAUUAUACGUCGAAUGGUGUACAAAAUAAUUACAUUAGCGAUAUUCGAAAAAAAUUUGAAUAAUAACUUUUAUUAGUAUGAGUAUUAAUAUUAUAAUAAUAUGUUAAAUUUCUAGAAAUAAUAAACCUCUAUAGUAUUACACAAUACAUAUUUAUAAAGAUAAUUAAUGCAAGAACUACCCGCACUGGAAUACAUACAUAGAAACGAUAAUAAUAUGAACUAUUUACGCGUGAGAAUAAAAAUCCGAUCAACCAAAAAAUAUUUCAUAAUAAUAUAUUAUAUUAUUAUCGUCACGACGACGUUCUUUGUACAAAGUUGAAGGAUACGGAUCCGGGAUGAUAAUGCACACGCAGUCUAUUAAAGACUAUUUUUCAGAUGCUAUAAUAUUAUAUCUUGUAAUAAUAAUAAUAUCCAUUAUCCAUAAUAUUAUUAGUUAGCCACAUCACGCUUAUGCAUACAGCGUUUACCUAUCUACCUAUACGUUUCACACGCAGUGUCAGGACGACAUACAUAUCGUAGGUACUACCUUAAUGUGUAUUUAAUAAUAUAAUAAUUUAUAUGUGUGAUUAAAUUACAGGGUGAACCGGGGCCGUAUAUUAUAAUAUAAUGGAUGUAUUAGCUAGGAUAUUAUGAUGAUGCGGUGUAACUUGUAGGUAAGUAUGCAUUUUGGUGUUGCAUAACAAUAAAACGGUCGUUAGCGGCGAGGGUGACUACUGCAGGAAAUAAUAUACAGAAUGUUUCAUAUUAUAAUAAUACUCAGCAUUAACAAAAUGUUAAUAUCUAUUAUUAAACAAAAAAAAAUGUAAGUUGCUCAAUCACUCUAUACGUGUAAAUCGGGUUAUAAUUUUAAAAAAUGAUAAUUAACUAGGUAGAUAAUUAUCUAGGUAGAUACUUUUUAACCAAAUUAAGUUAAUAUAUAUCUUCGCUUCAAACUUUUAGGGUGAAAUAUUAUAUACCUACCAUAACUGUUUGUUAACUAUACGUUAUUGACGUUGACUUAACCAUUGAUUAAAUACAAAUUUUGUAGACAAAAAUUAUAGGCAAUUCAAGUUAGCUUCUUCUAUAUUAAUGUGCACACCUUUGAUACUAUUAAAUCAGUAGUUGGUAGUUGGUACUUACCGGUCACUAUACAGUAUACACCGAUCAUAAUAUUAUCAUUAACUAUAAUUAUUUAAGAAAAACAUUAUUUUUUUCUCCAAUCGGGUGAGGACCGAAAUGAAAGUUGUAUUCGGCUACUCGAUGUGAACCGCUCGUAUAUAUUGGCAUAUAUAAUAUAUUAUUUUAUGCGGUGGUAUUUACAUAUGUAUACAUAUAUUAUAUGCAUUGAUGGCGAAACCUAUCGCCGCAUACGUCAAGUGCGAGUGACGUAAUAAUAAUAAUAACAUCGUAUAGCGAUUUGGGCCGACCGCGUACGUUUAAUAAACUAAAUAUUUAUAAUAUAUAAAACAAUAUUAUAAUACAGUAUGUGAAUAAUUAUUGAGGAGAUGAUUGUGGUGUAAACAAUAACAGCCUAGACAAUAGUAUCCGAAAGCGCCGUGGAAGUGAAGACUUUUUAGAAACCGUUUAUAUAGGAGAGGUGCGUACGAGAGGAACUCAGCCCGUCUGCCGAAGACGGAUAUUCGUCUACGCGUUUCAGUUUUCACAAAACACAACAUGAAUUUUAUAUGAUGGAACACCAGAUCGUCAUAUAUAGUCUUGUAAAUGCUUAGAAAUGUUUGGAGAGUAUCGUCGAUGUAUAUAAUAAUAAUUAUUAUUGUAUAAGAUUAUAUAGGUACGGUCCGUGCAGCAAAUAUGUAUAUUAUAUAUAAUAUAUAUCUAUAUCGUUUAUAUACAGGUGCAGACGACAAUUAUAAUUGUUUGGGAAUUGCGUAGAUCCAUCCACAUACUAGCUAUAAUAUGUAUUUAAUACGCAUUAUAGCCACAGCCCAAAACAGUUUUUGCGUAAAAAAAAACGUGACAAUAUAAUAGUAAUAAAAAAUCUGUUUACCACGAAACGGCAUUAUUGUUCAUUCUGCUCUAUUUGAUGAUCGUAUUUAUAUUAUAAUAUAUUUCCUGCAGUUCAAAGUAUGCCACUCAAACAUUGCGGGACGAUAAAAAAAAAAUUCAAAAGUAUUUAUUGUAUUAUUAUACGAAUAGUCGACGCGAUGCAGACGAUGUAUCGCUCGUAGAACCACAGCGAACGUGGGUACAGAAAAACUGCGAUGCUCGAAAAUUGACGAAACAUUUAACCGUUAUGUAAAAUUAAACGGUUGAGACGAUGACCGUCUGCGUCCCAUAUAUUAUAUUGGCUGCUGCAUAAUCUAUAUAAUAUAUACACUGCAGUAAGACGUGUGUCCUAUAUUUCGCUGCAGCUGAUGCAAUGAAGGUAGGGGGAGCAGAGUUCGCGUAUAUACUGCGUUUUGCCAAUAAAUAAUAUCUCACACAUUGAAGACUCGGAAUAAUAUUAUUAUAUAAUAUGAUGUACAGAACGGUUUUCAAAGAGUCGAUCGUCCGACAAAAAAUUAAAAACUAUGGUCAUAUAUAUUAUAUAUACGAUAUACCUACCACUUGAUUUAUACGCGCGCCACGCUGAUCGAUAGAUCUCCCCUGGGGAGUCCAUUAAAAAACGACGUGAUAGAAUAUACCUAUACCCAUACCUAUACCUUUAUGUAUAAUAAUAAUUUAAUAAUGUACCGCACGACAACGAAUCAGCCGGUCGCGCGCGAGAAUAUCGCUUUUACUUAUCGUACCCCUCGAGCCAAACGUUUCUCCCCCGAUUAUCAUUAUUAUUACUAUUUGCCAAUUCGUAUUUACAAUAUAUUAUAUACGUUCGCGUGUGUUGGUCUGCGCGCGCAUUAGUAUGUAUAUAGUUACGACAUUGCACUUUUGCCCGCGCUAAAUCGCAGUAUUAUAUAUAGCUACUAUUACUACUACUUAUUACUGUUAUUAUCAUAUUAUAACAUAUACUAUAAUACUUUCACUGGGCGCGCGUAUUUGCACACGCAUCGUAUACCUGUAUAAUGCGUAUAUACUUAGAGCUAUAAGCAUGAACGUGAAUAUCAUACUAUUAUUGUUAUUAAUAUUAUUAUUAUUGAUAUACCUACAUAUAGACAAGCGGCAAUAACGAUUUCACGGAGGCGAUUUCAUAUUAUAAUACACAUACCUAUAUAACAUACAGAGUGUAUCACCCAUUCACCUAAAUUGUUGUUUAUAUAUAUUAGAUAUUUAUCUAUCCUACUCUCGCUCAUACUUUGAGAUGCACCUAAAACUAUUUCAAUAGUUAAUAGAAAUAAUAAACUGGCAUAAAUAAUAAAUUAUUAAUAAGUAAUAACCUGCAAUAAAACUAUCAUACAUCCCUGUACUAGGAUAAUAUAUAUAUAUAGAUACCACAGCAUCAAUCAUUAUAACCAAAUUAAAAUAUUUAAAAAAUAUAAACUUUAAAAAAGUUAUCGAAAAUCAUAGUGCUGCCAACACUGCAGUUAUGCGUUUACAGAUGCUCCUGCGAGUGGACAGUAUAAAGUCUCCAGUAUAUUCGUACAUUAAGCUAAAUAAUAAAUAAUAUUAGGUACGUUAUUAUUAUUGUAUAGUCUCUUAGUUUUGUUUCCUUUUGGCUUUUAGUGAUAUUUUGUCCCUCUCAGUUCUGACAACCACCAACUACACGAAAAUUAAACUUCUAUUACUAUGCAUUUCAUAUAGCAAGGUAGGUAUAAAUACAUAAUGUCUGGUCACAUAAUACAUUAUAUUAUUAUAUACAUAUUUAUAACUAUUAAGUUCAGUAUUUAAUUUUAUAUUGCUCAUCUCUAAUAUCUUUAAAAUAUUUAUAAAAACAAAUAUAUAGAUGCAUAAACCGUGAAAUGGAAUCGACACGUAUGUCAAUUAUUAUAAGUUAUAACCUAUAACAGGUACACCUAUACCUGUACAAAUAUAAUGAUGCUAUAUUAUAUCGUCGGGAAACGAUACGACGCGUGUCCCGUCGAUACGGUCGUUUCGCGCUUAUAACAAUAUUACCUAUACGUAUAGACAUAUAGUAAAUUAUAAUUACUUAUAUAUCAUAUUAUAUCGUAAACGAUAAUAUUAUUAUUAUUGUUGUCGAUGUUGUACAGUGUACAUACAAUUCAUACAUAGUACCUACUAUUUGUGUGCGUAUAUAAUAUGUGUAUAUAUGCAGUAUAAAAUGAACAGUAUAAAAUGUGACGUUUUCGUAUCAAAACGCGUGCACAGAGAAAAAAAAUGAUAAUGACAAUAAUGUUUGACGUUCCGGUGAAAGGUUUGUUUAUGUAUAUAAUAUUAUCAUUGUGAGACACAAACGGUUUUGCGGUUUAUUUAUUUUGUCAAAUCCGUACCGUUUUGCCAGCCAUUAAGAAUGAUAAUGCGAAAGGGAAAAAACGUUCCGACACACGUCCGAUUUCUAAUAUGUUCCCAUUAUCGGCGCAUUUCAUAAAUAUAUAUAACAAUUCUAUAUAAUUUAUAGAACGCUUCUCCGGCAAUCGCAAUUUUCGAGGAGUUUAGAGGUGGAGUAGGGGGGAUGGUUCUCCCACACAAACGAGCGUCAUUAUAUCUAUCCGACCGAAUCGGAAAAUCGAUGAGUGAAAAUAAUGAUAAUGAUCGUAUAAUAAACUUAGUCGAUGUAUCUAUAUAUGCAUUUAUAUAUAUAUUAUAUACACGCACAACACUAUGUACCUUUAUUGUAAUAUCCGUCAGCCGAGUUUGUUUUAAAUUAAGCUAUUACUUCUAUACCUAUACUCAGCCGGUCGUGAAAUAAUAUUUUCUAUGAACUAUCGCUGUAUAGUCCUUCUAUAAUAAUAAAUAAUAAUUAUAUAUUGUAUGGGAUUUUAUGACGAAACGCUUGUGCCGCAUUGUUAUAUUCGAAGAUUUUUCCCUUUGAUUUCUUGACUUGUGUCCUAUAUGUAUAUUAUUAUUUAUUGUAAGCGUUAAAAUAAUAUAAACGUCUUAUCUAAUCUCGUACAUUGAUCUCAAAAAAUUAUAAUAUCAUACUGCUGAAUAUAUUAUAUAUUUUUUAUUAGUAUUAUAAUAUAUUGUUAGGAAUAAAAAUAAAAAACGGGUAAAACAUUUCGCUCCUUAAGUGUACACCUCCUAAUAAUAUUUAAUAAUAGGAAUUACUAUUAAAAUAUAUAUAUAUAUUAAUGACCGUUAAGAUCGAAAAUGAAUGAACACAUUAACACAUAAAAAUCAUUAGCACGUGUGAAACGCUCAAACCUUACUUUAAUUAUUUUACUCCCAAAAUGCGUUUAUCGAGGCCGCUCAUCUAUAUAGCAGGCAUAGAACUGUAUAGGUCACAGCAAGGCGUGGGUUUUCACGAAAAACUUGUGUUUGUGUUUGUGAAAAAAAAACCUAAUACCUAUAUCAAAUAUUCGCAGUAGGUACGUAACAUAAUAUAAUACUACAAUGAAUAUAGCGUGUAUACCGUAUAUACACCUGAAGUAAUAUUAUAUAAGCUAAUAAUCGAUAGCUUCUAUAGAUAUUGUUUAACAGGUCCAGUGAAUUACUCAUACAACUAUUUAGAAUGUAUUUAGAUUUUUGUGAUUCCAUUUCCAAUAAGAUAACAACGAUUACUUUUUCGUACAAUAACUUUACUGUUCCUUGUUUAAAUUUUGAGUGUAUGAUUUAUUAAUGAAAUAUUUAUUAAAUAAAUAAAUUAAAAUUUCAAAACGAACAUCAGCAAUCAACCCAUCAUCACAAACAUUUAAAAUUUGUGGGGGCGGAGAGAGUAUGAUAUAAAUGACAAAAUUUGUGUUACAAAAAAUUAUAGUAUAAUCAAUUGGGAUGUACAUAUAUUAUUGAUGUAGCUAUAUUAUUUUUCCAAACAAUGUCGUGUUCAAACAAUAAUAUAGUUUGAAUUCAAGGUUGCUACUUGCGAUGGUCCUGCGUAAGUACGAAACCGUCUAAUUUAUAUAUUAUAGCUACUGAAACUGAAGUACAACAACACAAGAUACAAAUGAUACGAUAAAUCGUAAUAAUCAUAAUUUUAUUGUAAUCGCUUAUUUAUUGGGUAGAUUUUAUUAACCAGAAGCUGGAAAGAGUGCAAUCGAGGUUAAUUAAUAAAUCACACGACGAUAUAAGAACAACCUACCUAUGUCUAUCUAGGUAUUCUAGGAUACCUAACUAUCAAACGAUGAUAAUAACAAUAAUAAUAAUACAUGAUAAUAAUAUAAGAAAUUACCAGAAAAUAAACACGCCACGGAACAAUGCAAUCAGCGUUACGAAAUAAUAAAAAAUAAUUAAUAAAAUGCACUCGAUGUCCAAAUUGAUUUCUCGUAACAUAUUACUACACAGUAUAUAGUAUGGGGAGCUUUUGUUGACACGAUAAUAUUAUUAUUGUUAAUAAUAUAUAAACGUUAUAUAUAUAUAUAUAUGUCAUUCGAAAACGUAUAUUAUAGCAGCCGGCCGUUCAUAGAAACCGAAAAGUGAAAUUUUUUUCUUCGCGGAUACAGCAACAAUAUUAAUAAUAUCUGUGCGCUACACGCGUAUAUGUAUAAUUAUUAUAUGACUAUAGCUGACGAUAGCUGACGAUAAAAACACACAAAUCCGGAUACAGCUAGAGGCAUGUGAGAAAUAAUCAAAACUGACUUCUGUUUCCGAUUUCGAUUGUCGUCACCGCGUAAAAUGUUCAUCGUCGUAUUAUGGCACUACCCAAAAUAUUCUCAUAACUAUUGAUAAACUUACCACCCACAAUGUGUGACCCACCUCUACAAAAGUUAAGUUGAAGUUAUGUUUUUCAUUUAAUGUUAUUUUAUUAUAUUAUGGUGGUUUCAAUUGCACUAGUAAGUGGGUAUUUUUACGUUUGUAAAAUUAUUACACGUACUUAACCUAACCUAUGCCUAUAUAGUAUAUAUAUGUAUUCAUCUACAAAACUCCUCAUAAUUACCCUUAGGUAUUUAAAUGAGAAUACAUGCCUUAUUUACAUUUCUGACGACACUAUAUUGAACUUUUUUACUUUUUCGACAAGUUGUUCCAAGUGCCCCUCCGAGUGUCCUCUUUUCCUUUUUUUGUCAAAGGGAGAAAAAGGGAGAGCACACAUUGUAUUUAGAAUCACCAGUUUUACAGUGAGGCAUUUUAAUGAUACAUUUAAAUAAUCAAGAUUUUUUUUCCAUUGCCUAUUGCAAAGCAGGGUAUUAGGCCAACUAAUAAUAAAUAUAACUGGAUCUAUCGACUGACACUCGGCCACCCACUUUCAUUGAAGAGCAAUGUUUCUCCCGGAAAGCGCCUCCGACACUCCACUAUGUACCUAUAUUAUUAUUACACUUACUCGCGUUGUCCUGUUGUCAAUGGCGCGCGCUCAUUUUGCAUUGUGCGCCACGACUAACGAUAGAGACUACGGGUCAAGGCGUACCCGCCGGACGGCCCCCGCGACUGAUUUUUAAUUCUUUGCUGACCUCUCGCUUGGCGGACUUGGCAAUGCAAUUAUAACUGAGUUUCGGCUAUACGUUAUUCUACACGCAUACGACGCCCGGUAUAAUGUUCAGAAUACCGUCGUCGGGACCCGAUCGAAACCCAUAUCUAUACGGGUAUAUGGCUAUAGAUAUUAUAGUACAUAACUAUUUACUAUAUUAUUUACUGUCAAUCAUCAUACUUGCGUAAAUUCGGAGUACACUAUCAGGGGCCAUUUUUUAAAUGAUUAGAUUAUUACAACAUUUAACUCAUUUAAGGAGUAUCAUGUGGGCUAUGGUGAUACAAACUUAUAUUUUUUCAAAUGAUAACCAACCUUUUUUACAUUCAAUUAAGUAUUUUAAUUAAUUUUAUGUAUCUAGUUCAAACUUUGUUCAAGAGUUUCUAAGUUAAUGUAUAUACUAUGGACAAUAUUAUAGUCCUCAAAUAUGGUUUAUAAAACUAUCUAUUAUUUCCAAACCUAUUAUUUAUAUAAUAAAAAUACUAAAUAUCAGUUAAGUAUGCAGGUAAUUAAAAUACUAUUCGAUUUGGAAUUGAAUUUUUUGGAGAAUGUUGAUAUAGUUUACAUCAACAUUCUCCAAAGAAAUCAUAUUCUUAAGUACUUAAAAAUUAACAGAAAAAAUUUUGAUUCUGAUUUGAAAAAAAUAAGUUGCUAUU